GUACAAGCUCUCGCCUGCCGCCAUGUAAACGUUCUUUGCUCCUGCUUCGUCUUCUGCCGUGAUUGUGAGGCCUCCCCAGCCAUGUGGAACUACUCAUCACUCACUGCAGAUGUUACUUUAAGACAUUCUGGAGCAGCGUCAUGUGCAGGAACAAUAAGGAAGUGAGUGCUUUUGUAAUUCCUGAACAACUGUGUCUUACACUUACUAAGGGAUUCAUGGGCAAUAUGACUGAAUAGGAACAGCUCCAGUCUGAAGCUCCCAGUGAGACCAACAUAGAAGUUCUCUUGCCUGCCACCAUGUAAGAUAUGCUUUUACUCUUCCGCCUUCCACCGUGACUGUGAGGCCUCCCCAGCCAUGUGAAACUGCCUUUGAGCUUAUACUGAAUUAUACCACCAGCUUUCCUAGGUCUUGAAGCUUACAGACAGCAGAUCUUGGGACUUCUCAGGCACCAUAAUCAAUCAUAGAUAAAUGAUCCAAUGAUUCGGAACUUGAAAAGUGGUAGCUUUAUGAAUUCUCCUUAAGAAGAAACCUGUGCCCUGAUCUUGCCUACUCACCCAAAGGCACUGUGAGAUAGCAUCAAAGGAACAGCUAGUAAGAGACACAGAGCCAGAAAUCAGGGAAGUAAAAUACACUUGACAUCUACGUUCGGAAAGAAAUUUUAGGAGGCAGAAGCAAAUGGAUCAGAAGCUGCUUAUAUUUUUGCAAGAUUACCAAAGAAACCAUUGGUGGAGAAAGUUCUGUGACCAACUUGUCUGAGUCUAGUAAGAUUGAACGCUCACACACAAGUUUCAUGAAGUGGGUUUGAUACUUACAGAUAAGCAGCAAGGACCAACAGAAGCUGAUGAUCUAUGGUGAACUUUUUCCCAAGGCUCCGGAAAGCUGCCUAAAGUAGAUGGAGUCUUCUCUGUGUGUGCCCCACUGGUCCUGCAGUUGAAGGAUCCGGUAAAGCAGCCUGCCCUUGGUUUUAUACUCCAGAGGAACGUGAUUCGCUGGACUAAAGCAUUGAAGUGCAUCCUGUUUCCGGGGGGCACUGGAACAGAGCCUGGUCUGUUCUAGCCAGUCCCUUUCUAUCUCAGGAUAACAUUCUACAGUUAUUCUUGAGAACUAUAAUCAAAUAAGCAGGGAGAACUGGGAAAGCAGAGGCUCAUUGUGGAACCCUCAAGGAGCAUGGGGUCGUCUUCAUCCCUCAGUUUAUAAAUGGCCAAGGAGAGUAAUGCAACAAAAACUUCUCAGAGUUAAAAGCCAGAGUUCCUAAAGAACCGUGGACAAAGGGUUCUGUCUAGUGGGCAGAAUUCAUCCAGCGAAGGAAAUUUGGAACCCAGGUUUUCCCAACCUACAUCUACAAAAUGGAAUGGGUCUGAUUCGCAAGUUUUCAGAGAAAGAAGCCAACCUUAAUCAGACUGUGAUAUGAUGAGGAAAUAAAACUUGCUGUGCUAAUCAA
rnacentral:lncRNA from 1 species